UACGUAGGGGGCUAGCGUUGUCCGGAAUCAUUGGGCGUAAAGCGCGUGUAGGCGGCCCGAUAAGUCCGCUGUGAAAGUCCAGGGCUCAACCCUGGGAUGCCGGUGGAUACUGUCGGGCUCGAGUCCGGAAGAGGCGAGUGGAAUUCCUGGUGUAGCGGUGAAGUGACGCAGAUAUCAGGAAGAACACCCGUGGCGAAGGCGGCUCUCUGGUACGUGACUGACGCUGAGACGCGAAAGCGUGGGGAGCAAACAGG
rnacentral:rRNA from 1 species